AUUAAACGCUGACGGCAUGGCUAAAACAUGCAAGUCGAACGAUCGACAGUGGCGAAAGGGCGAGUAAUGCGAUCGAACGUGCCCCGAGGUGGGGGAUAGCGUCGGGAAACUGACGGUAAUACCCCAUGUCCUCUACGGAGAAAAGGUUUACCGCCUUGGGAGCGGCGAUCGUCCUAUCAGCUUGUUGGUGAGGUAACGGCUCACCAAGGCGAAGACGGGUAGCGGGUGUGAGAGCAUGACCCGCCGCAUCGGGACUGAGACACUGCCCGGACUCCUACGGGAGGCUGCAGUAACGAAUCUUCCGCAAUGGGCGAAAGCCUGACGGAGCAAUGCCGCGUGUGGGAUGAAGCGUCUUCGACGUGUAAACCACUGUCAGGGAAUAGAAACACUGAUCAUUCCCAAAGGAAGGGCCGGCUAAUUCCGUGCCAGCAGCCGCGGUAAUACGGAAGGCCCGAGCGUUAAUCGGAAUCACUGGGCUUAAAGCGUGCGCAGGCGGACCCGUAGGCAUCUCGUGAAAUCCCACGGCUCAACCGUGGAACUGCGGGGUGAACCACGGGUC
rnacentral:rRNA from 1 species